rnacentral:rRNA from 1 species
AUGAACGCUGGCGGCGUGCCUCAUACAUGCCAGUCGAGCGAACGGACGAGAAGCUUGCUUCUCUGAUGUUAGCGGCGGACGGGUGAGUAACACGUGGAUAACCUACCUAUAAGACUGGGAUAACUUCGGGAAACCGGAGCUAAUACCGGAUAAUAUUUUGAACCGCAUGAUUCAAAAGUGAAAGACGGUCUUGCUGUCACUUAUAGAUGGAUCCGCGCUGCAUUAGCUAGUUGGUAAGGUAACGGCUUACCAAGGCAACGAUGCAUAGCCGACCUGAGAGGGUGAUCGGCCACACUGGAACUGAGACACGGUCCAGACUCCUACGGGAGGCAGCAGUAGGGAAUCUUCCGCAAUGGGCGAAAGCCUGACGGAGCAACGCCGCGUGAGUGAUGAAGGUCUUCGGAUCGUAAAACUCUGUUAUUAGGGAAGAACAUAUGUGUAAGUAACUGUGCACAUCUUGACGGUACCUAAUCAGAAAGCCACGGCUAACUACGUG